rnacentral:rRNA from 1 species
UACGAAGGGUGCAAACGUUGCUCGGAAUCAUUGGGCGUAAAGCGCACGUAGGCGGCCUCGCAAGUCGGACGUGAAAUCCCUCAGCUCAACUGAGGACGUGCAUCCGAAACUGCAAGGCUUGAGUACUGAAGAGGAUCGCGGAAUUCCCGGUGUAGAGGUGAAAUUCGUAGAUAUCGGGAGGAACACCAGUGGCGAAGGCGGCGAUCUGGGCAGAUACUGACGCUGAGGUGCGAAAGCGUGGGGAGCAAGCAGG